rnacentral:tRNA from 1 species
GGGUUUGUAGCCCAGUGGUACAGCGCUUGCCUAGUGUGUGAGAGGCACUGGGUUCAAUUCCCAGCACUGCCU